CCCUGGUUAGCUCAGUUGGUAGAGCGCUCCACCUGUAAUGGAGAGGUCCCAGGUUCGAUACCCAAACCAAGCA
rnacentral:tRNA from 1 species